ensembl:lncRNA
CCGGAAGUGUACUUGUUGUCUUUCCGGCGGAAGCUGCAGACGGCGAGUAUUGCAGCGGCAAAGCCUACACACACUGGGUUGAAAAGAGCUUCUCUUAUUCAGCGUUACAUGUCCUCUUGAACACAGACAUGUAUCGCCCGGGUGAACCUGUUCGCCAGGCGCCUCCACCGCUGCCGUUCGGACCUCCACCGCCUCACGGCCCUCCUUUUAGACUCACAGGGCCCUGCUCUGUUCCUCCUCCUGGACACUUACCCCCCAGGCCCUGUGGACCAUAUCCCGGCGCGGCACGAGAUUAUCUCCACAACAGACCGUCGAGUGGGCAUUUCGUUCGUCCCCACUGUAGCAGCUUCUCCAUAGACCGUAGUACACCAAUUGCUUUGGGAGGAAGCCAGCAGAUCGUUACUCCUGCUGAACCAUCAACACAUCCGGUACCACAGUGGAAUCCCCCUCCAGUGGAACGUCAUUCUCUAGAUAAUAGUGACCGUGCUGGUGAGGAAUUCCUGAGAUGCAUUGCAGCCAACAAACCCCUCCCAAACUAUCUCAAAGGCAACAUGGCAUACAACCUGGCUGAGGCAUUUAAGUCAGCUAGUAUAUUGAAAGAAGCAGUCAAAUCAGACCGUGAAUUCCAGAAGCAUGUGGCUAGAAGCAAGAGCCGUAGUCGAAGCCGUAGCAGAAGCCAAGGCAGGUCUCGAGCCAGGAGUCGUGGUCGAAGCAAAAGCAGAGUACGCAGCCGAAGCAGGGGAAGAAGCAAAACUCAUGCCUGUGGGAAGAGUCGAGCUAGAAGCAAAAGCAGGGUUCGCAGUAGGAGUCGGAGCGACAGUCGAAUUGAGAAAAAGAGUCAUGUACGGAGCAAGAGUCGAGCAAGGCGAUCCAAGUCACGAAGUAGCAGUAGUGAAAAGAGCCGAGGCAAAGGCAAAAAGAGAAACAGGAGCCCUGGACUCAUCACCGUCAACAGCAGUAAUAAUCUGCCAGGAAAUAGUCUGUUAGAAGGAUUGAAGCUGGUUAUGAGCAGCCAAGAUUUGGAAGAUCAGCUGCCAUCUCUCAAAGAUAUCAUUCUCACUAUUAAGGCUCCAGAUGAGGGGAAAAAAGUUGAGUGUGUAUCUAAUGAGCCUACACAUAUGGAACAUGACAGUCAAGACAGUUUAUCAAUGCUGGAAAAGGAAAGCAUGCUGCUUCCACAUGAAAGAGUUGGUGGUGAUUUCUCAUGGCUUCAAGGACAAAGUCAAGAAGAUGCUGCAUACCAGAAAGCUAAUGAACUUGAAGAUGAAGAGUCUUUCUUGUAUGGGAAUGAACCAGCUUCCCAGAUUAAUGAAAAGGCCAAACUACAGAAAGAGAGUAGUUCCCUUUCCACUCGUUGUGGACAUCUUCUUGAUCCAAAUCAGUCCCUGCAGUUGGCUUCUUCAACUUUUGUCCACUCCAAUCUGGACAACAUGGAAUAUGAGAAAAUCAAGAUCAUAUUAAAAAGCCUGGGUUCAUCAAGUGAGAUCAAGGGGAAGACGCAGGGUCAGAAUGAGCAGGAGUCAUCUUCUACACUUGUCAAUUCAGACAAAGCAGCAGCAACUUUAGCAUUGCCAGCACUCAAUAACCCAAAUGUACGUCAGGCUCUGGAGUCUCUGCAAUCUCUGAUCAAAGCUACAAAGGACAAACGAACAAAAAGUGACUGCACAUCUCAAGCAUCUGAUAAACAUAAGGAGGGUGACAGUGAGGAAAGGAAGAGAGAGAAACAACAGAAAGUAAAUAAAAUGGAGUCUUUGGCCAAAGAACUGGAUGAACUGUUAAAACAAGAUGGACAGGGUUUUAUAACUUCAGUUACUGGCUUUUACUGCCAGAAAUGUGAGGAGUUCAUUGGAGAUUUGAAGUCUGCUGAAAACCAUGCAGCUAUCCGCCAUCAUAGUAAUUCUAUUCCAAAAGAACAGACGGACAGGCACUCUAAAGACAGCAAAGGACACCCUCAUCAUUACAGUGCCUCCAGUAAUCGACACCCUGCCCCCCCAGACAGGAGAGAUCACAGGGGUUAUGGUUACCACGGGGAUUCAGGAAACCACCGGAAUAGGACAGACCAUCUACGGAAUUGGAAGGAUGAGAAAGAUUUCAGAAGCCAAUACCAUGAUGAUGACCACAAAAGUCACAAGGAUAGAGAUGAAAACAUCUUCUUGAAAGAGGAAAUGAAAAAGGAGCAAAUGUUUAUAACAGUCUCCGAUGGACUGACACCUUCAACUUCUAACAUCAGGGUCAAGGAGGAGGUGGACAAGGAGAAGGCCACUGGAAGCCAUGGUAAAGUUAAAGCGAAAGACCUAGAAUCAUCCAAGGAGAAAAAAGGCAGCAUUGAAAAUGAUAAAUACAGUGAUAGCACUGAUGAUGACGGAAAAUCACCUAAAACAAAAAAGAAUAAAAAGAAAAAGAAGAAGAAGGAGAAAAAGAAUAAGAAACAGAAGGAAGAUAAGUCUUAGGUGUUAUAUUGUCCUUGUCAUAUAACUCUGGGAUCAUGGUGUAGCAGCUUAUUUCUGGACUGAUUUUCUAACAUAGUUUUCUCACUUUCUUUUCCUCCACCCAAUUGUUUUUUGUUACUGUCAUUAUGAAGGAAUAGACUGAUAUGUUAGGAAGCACGUUUGUUGGUGGUCGUUCUCUAAAAGUAGUUUAGUAUUACUUUUAUCUUUGUGUAUCUAGGACAGUGGUCUUUACCUCACUUAGAACUAAGAUUGACUUUUCUCAGUUAAUUUAGGUAUUUUUUCCCACUUCAGACAGCGUGUGUGCUCGGUCAAAUGAAUUCUCAUGUGGAAUGAAAUGUUCUCAUGUGUUCCUCAGUAAACAGGCAAACAAAAACCUUUUCCAAAACGUCUGUUCCCUUUACACAUUCUGCACAGUUUUCAGCAGUACUGUAUUAAUGUCUGCCACGUUUCAGGUAUGGCAUCACAUCUUGGUUCUAUCUUUUAAUUAAAUGUUCGAGAAAAUAAGCAGUAAGUACUUUUUUCAUUUCAUUGGACCAACAGCAUUGUAGUUUUAGAAAAGUUAUACAUGUAUCUGACAUCUUGUAUUCAUUAUGAUCUCAAAUAAAGUAAAAUAAACAAAUGUGUACUAUUCCUUAGUUUUUUGGGUUUUCUUUUUUGAUUUUAAAGUCAACUUUAUACUGUGUUUGAGUGGCAAAAAAGGGUCACUAAUGUCCCUACAGCACUUCAGCAUCAGAACUGUAAGCCUUUCCCACCCCAGUAUUGCAUCCUUUUCUUGCUUCCUUCCCCACACAUUCAGUUCCUUGGUAAUUUAACUGCUCAUUGGAUCGGAACUAUGAUUGGUCAUUUUAUAUUGAUGCUUUUAUGUUCUGUGUCUUAUGUGGUGGUCUCUGUGCCUUUUUAAUUGCCCCUUGGAGAUAAAUAAAGGGAAUUUGAAUUGUAUCAAUACAUUUGAAGUGGUCAUAUACGUGUUUGA